rnacentral:rRNA from 1 species
CCUACGGGUGGCAGCAGUGAGGAAUAUUGGUCAAUGGACGAGAGUCUGAACCAGCCAAGUAGCGUGAAGGAUGACUGCCCUAUGGGUUGUAAACUUCUUUUAUAUGGGAAUAAAAUGUUCCACGUGUGGGAUUUUGUAUGUACCAUAUGAAUAAGGAUCGGCUAACUCCGUGCCAGCAGCCGCGGUAAUACGGAGGAGCCGAGCGUUAUCCGGAUUUAUUGGGUUUAAAGGGAGCGUAGGUGGAUUGUUAAGUCAGUUGUGAAAGUUUGCGGCUCAACCGUAAAAUUGCAGUUGAAACUGGCAGUCUUGAGUACAGUAGAGGUGGGCGGAAGUCGUGGUGUAGCGGUGAAAUGCUUAGAUAUCACGAAGAACUCCGAUUGCGAAGGCAGUUCACUGGACUGCAACUGACACUGAGGCUCGAAAGUGUGGGUAUCAAACAGGAUUAGAUACCCGAGUAGUC